UCCCGAGUCGUCUAAGGGCAGGACGUCACCCUUUGGUGGUGAUUAUAGGGGUUCGAAUCCUCUCUCGGGAGC
rnacentral:tRNA from 1 species